rnacentral:rRNA from 1 species
GACGAACGCUGGCGGCGUGCUUAACACAUGCAAGUCGAGCGGUAAGGCCCUUUCGGGGGUACACGAGCGGCGAACGGGUGAGUAACACGUGGGUGACCUGCCCUCAGCUCUGGGAUAAGCCUGGGAAACCGGGUCUAAUACCGGAUAUGACUCCAUGACGCAUGUUGUGGGGUGGAAAGCCUUGUGCGGCUGAGGAUGGGCCCGCGGCCUAUCAGCUUGUUGGCGGGGUAAUAGCCCACCAAGGCGACGAUCGGUAGCUGGUCUGAGAGGACGAUCAGCCACACCGGAACUGAGACACGGUCCGGACUCCUACGGGAGGCAGCAGUGGGGAAUAUUGGACAAUGGGCGCAAGCCUGAUCCAGCAAUUCCGCGUGGGUGAAGAAGGCCU